UGGUCAAGUUAUUAAGGGUGCAGGGCGGAUGCCUUGGCACUAGGAGCCGAUGAAGGACGUGAUAAGCUGCGAUAAGCUUCGGGGAGUUGCACGUAAACUUUGAUCCGAAGAUUUCCGAAUGAGGAAACUCACUUAGAGUAAUGUCUAAGUAUCAUUAAGUGAAUACAUAGCUUAAUGAGGGGAACUCAGGGAACUGAAACAUCUAAGUACCUGAAGGAAGAGAAAGAAAUUCGAUUCCGUAAGUAGCGGCGAGCGAACGCGGAUUAGCCCAAACCAAUAAAGUUUUCUUUAUUGGGGUUGCGGACAUAUCAUAACGAAGAGGUAUCGUAAUUGAAGAGGUUUGGAAAGACCCACCACAGAAGGUAAUAGUCCUGUAUGUUAAACGAGAAGACUUUAGAUAUGAUCCAGAGUACCACGGGACACGUGAAACCCUGUGGGAAGCAGGAGGGACCACCCUCCAAGGCUAAAUACUACCUAGUGACCGAUAGCGUAUAGUACCGUGAGGGAAAGGUGAAAAGAACCCCGGGAGGGGAGUGAAAUAGAACCUGAAACCCUGCACUUACAAGCUGUGGAAGCACAUUUCUUGUGUGACCGCGUACUUUUUGUAGAACGGGCCAACGAGUUACGUUAAGUAGCAAGGUUAAGCACUUAAGGUGCGGAGCCGUAGCGAAAGCGAGUUUUAACUGAGCGUUCAGUUACUUGACGUAGACCCGAAACCGGGCGACCUACCCAUGAGCAGGAUGAAGCGAAAGUAAAAUUUCGUGGAGGUCCGAACCCACGAGCGUUGAAAAGCUCGGGGAUGACUUGUGGGUAGCGGUGAAAUUCCAAUCGAGCCCGGAGAUAGCUGGUUCUCCCCGAAAUAGCUUUAGGGCUAGCCUCAAGGUGAGAGAUACGGAGGUAGAGCACUGAAUGUCCUAGGGGGUAUUGCACCUACCGAAGACUAUCAAACUCCGAAUGCCGUCAUCUUAUACUUGGGAGUCAGACUGUGGGUGAUAAGAUUCAUAGUCGAAAGGGCAACAGCCCAGAUCGUCAGCUAAGGUCCCUAAAUGUAAGUUAAGUGGUAAAGGAUGUGGGAUUGCACAGACAACCAGGAUGUUGGCUUAGAAGCAGCCACUCAUUCAAAGAGUGCGUAAUAGCUCACUGGUCGAGUGAUCCUGCGCCGAAGAUUUCCGGGGCUAAAACUUACUACCGAAGCUACGGCAUCAGUAAUGAUGGGUAGGGGAGCUUCCCAUACGGGUUGAAGCAUGACCGUAAGGACAUGUGGACAGUAUGGGAGUGAGAAUGUUGGCAUGAGUAGCGAGAUGUGGGUGAGAAUCCCACAGGCCGUAAACCCAAGGUUUCCAGGGGAAGGUUCGUCCGCCCUGGGUUAGUCGGGACCUAAGCUGAGGCCGAAAGGCGUAGGUGAUGGACAACAGGUUGAUAUUCCUGUACUACCGAUAACUGUUUGAGAGAAGGGAUGACACAGUAGGAUAAGCUAAGCACACUGUUGGUUAUGUGUGCCCAAGCAUUGAGGCAGUCAAAGUAGGCAAAUCCGCUUUGAUAAUGCUGGGAUGUGAUGGGGAGCGAAAUUUAGUAGCGAAGUAGCUGAUUUCACACUGUCAAGAAAAGUCUCUAUCGAGGUUAAAGGUACCCGUACCGCAAACCGACACAGGUGGGUGAGGAGAGUAUCCUAAGGCCAGCGAGAGAACUGUUGUUAAGGAACUCGGCAAAAUGACCCCGUAACUUAGGGAUAAGGGGUGCCACCAUCAGGUGGCCGCAGAGAAUAGGCCCAAGCGACUGUUUACCAAAAACAUAGGUUUCUGCUAAGUCGCAAGACGAUGUAUAGGAGCUGACGCCUGCCCGGUGCUGGAAGGUUAAGGGGAUCUGUUAGAGCAAUCGAAGCAGUGAACUUAAGCCCCAGUAAACGGCGGCCGUAACUAUAACGGUCCUAAGGUAGCGAAAUUCCUUGUCGGGUAAGUUCCGACCCGCACGAAAGGCGUAACGAUUUGGGCACUGUCUCAACAACAGACUCGGUGAAAUUGUAAUUCCGGUGAAGAUGCCGGAUACCUGCGACAGGACGGAAAGACCCCAUGGAGCUUUACUGUAGCUUGACAUUGGGUCUUGGUACUACAUGUACAGGAUAGGUGGGAGGCUUUGAAACCAGGACGCCAGUUUUGGCGGAGCCAUCCUUGGGAUACCACCCUUGUAGUACUGGGACUCUAACCAUAGGCCAUGAAUCUGGUCUUGGGACACUGUCAGGUGGGCAGUUUGACUGGGGCGGUCGCCUCCCAAAAGGUAACGGAGGCGCUCAAAGGUUCUCUCAGUACGGUCGGAAAUCGUACGUAGAGUGUAAAGGCAAAAGAGAGCUUGAUUGCAAGACAUACAGGUCGAGCAAGGAUGAAAAUCGGACUUAGUGAUCCGGUGGUUCUGCGUGGAAGGGCCAUCGCUCAACGGAUAAAAGCUACCCUGGGGAUAACAGGCUUAUCUCCCCCAAGAGUCCACAUCGACGGGGAGGUUUGGCACCUCGAUGUCGGCUCAUCACAUCCUGGGGCUGUAGUAGGUCCCAAGGGUUGGGCUGUUCGCCCAUUAAAGUGGUACGCGAGCUGGGUUCAGAACGUCGUGAGACAGUUCGGUCCCUAUCCGUCGCAGGCGUAGGAAAUUUGAGAAGACCUGUCCUUAGUACGAGAGGACCGGGAUGGACGUACCUCUGGUGUACCAGUUGUCCUGCCAAGGGCAUGGCUGGGUAGCUAUGUGCGGAAUGGAUAAGCGCUGAAAGCAUCUAAGCGCGAAGCCAACUUCAAGAUAAGAUUUCCCACCGCAAGGGUAAGACCCCAGAAAGACUAUCUGGUUGAUAGGUCGAAGGUGUAAGUGCAGCAAUGUAUUUAGCUUAUCGAUACUAAUAGGUCGAGGACUUGACCAAUAUUUAUU
rnacentral:rRNA from 1 species